rnacentral:tRNA from 1 species
AUUUAAAUAGCUUAAUUAAGAGCAUAGUAUUGAAGAUACUAAGGUAGCUACGGCUUUUAAAUA